GUGAACGCUGGCGGUAGGCCUAACUCAUGCAAGUCGAACGGCAGCACAGUAAGAGCUUGCUCUUACGGGUGGCGAGUGGCGGACGGGUGAGGAAUACAUCGGAAUCUACUUUUUCGUGGGGGAUAACGUAGGGAAACUUACGCUAAUACCGCAUACGACCUACGGGUGAAAGCAGGGGAUCUUCGGACCUUGCGCGAUUGAAUGAGCCGAUGUCGGAUUAGCUAGUUGGCGGGGUAAAGGCCCACCAAGGCGACGAUCCGUAGCUGGUCUGAGAGGAUGAUCAGCCACACUGGAACUGAGACACGGUCCAGACUCCUACGGGAGGCAGCAGUGGGGAAUAUUGGACAAUGGGCGCAAGCCUGAUCCAGCCAUACCGCGUGGGUGAAGAAGGCCUUCGGGUUGUAAAGCCCUUUUGUUGGGAAAGAAAAGCAGCAGGUUAAUACCCCGCUGUUCUGACGGUACCCAAAGAAUAAGCACCGGCUAACUUCGUG
rnacentral:rRNA from 1 species